UUGUUGAAUGAGUAAUAGGAGGAAUAGGAGUAAGAUAUGGAGUAAAAGAAGAUAAUUGGAGGUGAAGCAAUGAGGAGGAGGCGGUGUGUGUGUGUGUGUGUGUGUGUGUGUGUGUGUGUGUGUGUGUGUGUGUGUGUGUGUGUGUGUGUGUGUGUGUGUGUGUGUGUGUGUGUGUGUGUGUGUGUGUGUGUGU